AUCCUGGCUCAGGAUAGAACGCUGGCGGCGUGCCUAAUACAUGCAAGUCGAACGCACAGCGAAAGGUGCUUGCACCUUUCAAGUGAGUGGCGAACGGGUGAGUAACACGUGGAUAACCUACCUCAAGGUUGGGGAUAACAUUUGGAAACAGAUGCUAAUACCGAAUAAAACUUAGUAUCGCAUGAUACCAGGUUAAAAGGCGCUACGGCGUCACCUAGAGAUGGAUCCGCGGUGCAUUAGUUAGUUGGUGGGGUAAAGGCUUACCAAGACAAUGAUGCAUAGCCGAGUUGAGAGACUGAUCGGCCACAUUGGGACUGAGACACGGCCCAAACUCCUACGGGAGGCUGCAGUAGGGAAUCUUCCACAAUGGGCGAAAGCCUGAUGGAGCAACGCCGCGUGUGUGAUGAAGGCUUUCGGGUCGUAAAGCACUGUUGUAUGGGAAGAACAGCUAGAGUAGGGAAUGACUUUAGUUUGACGGUACCAUACCAGAAAGGGACGGCUAAAUACGUG
rnacentral:rRNA from 1 species